UCUGCCUCCCCUUCCUUAUCUUUUGAAAAUAUUCUGCGAUCGACCUUAAAGCCUAUUACAUUAUUUUUUUCUACAACUUUAAUUCAUCCAAUAAGGGGGACUCUUCCCUUUUCUGUUUUCCAUUUGUGUUAGCUAUGAUUGUUGUUUCCCAUCCCAUAUUACUUGAUAUUAUUAAUUAUUCAUCUCAUCCCUCUAAACUUGCCAUCUACCAUUAAAAAAAAUUUAAAUAACUCCCCUUGCUAUUAGUUGAUGUCCUUCUGUUAUAGCUGGUAGUUGAUCAACUGCUUUAAAUCUUCCCUCAUUGCUUCAUCUCUCUCCCACUCAAUUUUUGGUUGUUGGUUGCCUUAAUUCCGUUAACAAAUCAAACGACGAGAAAAGAAGAAAAACUGACUGCAGAUUCUGAAUCGUAUUCUGUUCCCGGUUCCCAUGUACAAAUUUUUCAUGCUAGCUUGAAUUGUGUCGCAUGUUUUAAUUCUAUAUCAACUAUUUCUGAAAAAUAUUGUUGCUUUCUCUUGUUUCUCUUACCUUUGCAAGAAGAUGCCUCCUACAUAUUUUCCUCUCCGGUGGGAAAGCACCGGAGACCAAUGGUGGUACGCGUCUCCGAUCGAUUACGCAGCCGCCAACGGCCACUACGACUUGGUUCGAGAGCUUCUCCGCAUAGACGGCAACCACCUCAUCAAGCUCACAUCUCUCCGCCGUAUUCGCCGCCUCGAGGCAGUGUGGGACGACGAAGCUCAGUAUGAUGAUGUAGCCAAGUGUCGUUCGUGCGUUGCGCGAAAGCUCUUCAACGAAUGCGAGUCCAAGAAAGGAAAACCAAACUCUCUCAUAAGGGCUGGAUACGGCGGUUGGCUUAUGUACACCGCUGCCUCCGCCGGGGAGCUUGGUUUUGUCCAAGAACUGCUCGAGAGAAACCCUCUGCUUGUUUUCGGGGAAGGAGAAUACGGGGUGACUGAUAUUUUAUAUGCUGCUGCGAAGAGCAAGAAUGUUGAGAUUUUCAGGCUGCUUUUUGACUUUGCAGUUUCGCCGAGGUUUAUGACGGGGAGUGGUGGAGAGCUGGAAGAGCACAUUGGGGAGAUACCUUGUGUUUAUAAACGGGAGAUGGUUAACAGGGCGGUUCAUGCGGCGGCGAGAGGCGGAAAUUUGAGUGUUUUGAAGGAGCUUCUUUCGGAUUGUGAGGAUGUUUUGGCUUAUGGGGAUAUUCAGGGAUCAACUGUGCUACAUGCAGCGGCUGGGAAAGGGCGGGUAGAGGUAGUGAAGUAUCUUGUAGCAUCCUUUGAUAUCAUAAACUCCACUGAUCUCCAAGGCGACACAGCGUUACAUGUUGCAGCUUCAAGGGGCCAACUAGCCGCAGCCGAAGCGCUUAUAUUGGCAUCUCCGUCGUCUAUUAAUGCACGAAACAACUCCGGAGAAACGUUUCUCCACAAGGCUAUAUCCGGCUUCCAAAGCCCUGCCUUCCGAAGACUGGACAGACAAAUUCAGCUUCUGAAGCAACUGGUGUGCGAGAAAGCUUUCAAUAUCGAACAAAUCAUCAAUGCAAAAAACAACGAAGGACGGACUGCCCUUCACACAGCAAUCAUUGGGGAUGUGCAUUCCGAUUUAGUCCAACUCCUGAUGAUUGUGCAAUCGAUUGAUGUGAACGCCCGCGAUGUGGAUGGCAUGACAGCGCUAGAUUACAUUAGGCAAUGGCCUCGUUCGGCAUCAUCUGAUAUACUAAUCAGGCAGUUGAUUUCGGCUGGGGGAAUAUUUGGUUGUCAGGAUUACAAUGCAAGAAAAGCGAUUGCUUCACGCUUGAAGACACAAGGCGAUGGAGGUAGUCCCGGAACAUCAUUUAGAAUCUCUGACACGGAAAUCUUCUUGUAUACUGGCAUUGAAAAUGUAACAGAUGCUACUGCUGAUCGCCGUAGCAUAGGAAUCAAUUCAUCUCCACCCGAACUGAUCAGUCCGUAUCCAACUGCUGAAAAUAACGGCAGCUCAUUCGCUAGUAAAAAACCUGGUUCUGUAAAUAAUGCAGCAGCACAACUAAAACGUGUCGUAGGCUGGCCACAAAUGAAACCGAAAAAGCACGAAAGGUUCAAGAAAUCGGUUGAUUUGGGAUCAGUAGAGUCUAUUAAAAUAUGCAACAAAAGCUCAGAUGAUGCAGCUCCGACCCCGCUUCGACAGAGAUUUUCGAGGCCCUCAGUCUCAUCAGUUCCCAGCAACAAGCGGACACUUUCGGUGAGGAGCAACCAGUCAAGUCCAUCAGCGAAAAAGAGGUUUGCUUGUGGCAUAAGGCGUGGCGUAAUGCAGGCAAUUCCGCACAUAACUGUGCCACGUCGUUCUCGGUCUAGUUCAUUUUCGAAAUCAUCCUCAAUUUCUUCACCUACUUCUCUAGAUAUUCAGAAAAACGUUUGCAUGGAAACUGACAUUGCAGGACCGUCUUGGUCGACUGAAGUAGCUGAUGACGAACCGCCGAAUUUGGCGAAACAAGGCUCGCUUAAUAAGAGGCCGAGGAGACAGUAUUUCUGUUUUGGUGCAUCACGAUUGUCUGUGAAAAGCCCAGUUAACAGGCAGCAGCAAAGUUUCAAGCAUUCUCCUGUUAUUUCAGUUGCUUGAUUGGACUUUGAUGCGAAGAGUUUGGUCCUUGCAAACUCACUAACAUAGAAGAAGAUCCAUUUCAAGUCAUAUGUGACAAACGCCAUGCUGCACUGAAAGAUUGUGCAACGGUUUGUAGCUUACGUGGUCAUGAUCGUUCAUCCACUACAUCAGAGAUCCUGCGUUUGAUUCUCCCCUCCCCCAGUAUCGCUCGUAUUAAAAAAAAAAAAAAAAAACAAUGUGAUACUGCAAUCAUGGGAAGAUCAGAUUAUGCUCCUCAUCCAACUCCUAUAACUAUUAAGGAGAUUGGCAUAAUUAUAGGUUCUAGUGCACUCCUCCUUAUAAUCUGUCCAGGAAACGUUUCACUUUGAAGCUCCUUGAUUUGUAUAGAAGAAAAAAAUAUGAGAACCAAAAAUCAAGAAGCAAAGAUGUAUGAUUUCAUAAGUUCAAAAUACGUAUGAUAUAUUGCAGAAAUGUUGGACCAAUUGAAUGCAA